rnacentral:tRNA from 1 species
GGGUUAUAGCUUAGUGGUAGAGCACUUGCCUCACAUGUGUGAGGCACUGGGUUUGAUCUUCAGCACCACAUAAAAAUAAAUAAAAUAAAUAGUAAAGAUAUUGUGCCCAUCUUAAAAAAUAAAAUAAAAUAGAUAUUAGUUGUGGGCUGGGAUAUAGGUCAGUGGCAAAGUGUGUACAUCACAUAUGCAAAGCCCUGGGUUCAAUCCCCAGUUCCA